UACGGGGGGGGCAAGCGUUGUUCGGAAUUACUGGGCGUAAAGGGCUCGUAGGCGGCCAACUAAGUCGGAUGUGAAAUCCCCAGGCUUAACCUGGGAACUGCAUCCGAUACUGGAUGGCUUGAAUCCGGGAGAGGGAUGCAGAAUUCCAGGUGUAGCGGUGAAAUGCGUAGAUAUCUGGAGGAACACCGGUGGCGAAGGCGGCAUCCUGGACCGACACUGACGCUGAGGAGCGAAAGCCAGGGGAGCAAACGGG
rnacentral:rRNA from 1 species